UGCGAUCUGCCAUCGCUCGCCCCGUCCGCCUCGUUUUGGAAAGCGGAUGAAGCUAGGCAGCUCGCCUAGUCUCCUGUAGUAAACACCUGCCCGCUCCUCAACUACCCUUCCUUCCUGUGCUGGCCGCCAGUAACCACCUCACAGCAAGGCAGCGCGGCGCGGAGGAGAUGGGCUCCCCGUCCUACCGGCUCGCGGCGGCGAUCACGGUCCCCUCGACCGGCGAGUUCCUCGUCGUCCGGCAGCCGCGCCCGCCGUCCCCGCCCGCGGAGGACGAGGACUACCGGCGCUUCGUCGACAGCGACCUCUACGACCUCCCGUCCGCGCCUCUCAAGCCCCUCGCGGGGGAGCCCCGGUCGGAGGUGGCCGUCUCCGGCGCGGAUUCCGUCACCCGCCUCGACCUCUCACGCCUCGACGUGUCCGCCGCCCUCGAUCAGAUUUUUUAUCAAUUUGGCUUGCCGGAUGGAAUGCGUGGGGAGUGGCGGCUCCUGAAGUACGUGGAGGAAGCAGAGUUUGGCCCAGAUGCUGGAGUUAACACCGUGUUCAUCAUCGGGUCACUGGAGUCAAAAUUGGAUGCUCUACAAGAGUCGUGUAAAUGGAUGACCAAGGAUUGUGCAUUGGGGCUGCUUUCUGAAGUGAAGCCUGGUAGUGAUCGCAUAGGGUCGAAUGCAUAUAUUGGACUUCUGAAUUCGGAGCUGCCAUCAAACAGCACGGCUGUCCCUGCUUUGCCCUCCCAGGAGUACCCACCUGGAAUAAUUCUUGUACCAAUGAAGAGCAAGACAUUACAUCCAUUCCGCACAACUAAUCUUGUGGUAAUACGAGCAACCAAUGGUGCUGGUGGAUCUACAUGUUCUGAUUUUUUUGCUUGUGGGGAUGCUCUACUUUUAGAUCCUGGAUGCAGCUCUCAGGUUCAUGCGGAGCUUGCAGAUCUUGUCAAUUCCCUUCCAAAAAAGUUGUUAGUCCUCGUCACACAUCAUCAUCAUGAUCACAUUGAGGGUCUUUCUGUUGUUCAGAGAUGCAAUCCUGAUGCUGUUCUUCUGACACACCAAAACACAAUGAAUCGUAUCGGGAAAGGGAAUUGGCAGAUUGAGUACACUUCAGUAACUGGUGGUGAAAAGAUAUGCAUAGGUGACCAAGAACUACAAGUUGUUUUUGCUCCUGGUCACACAGAUGGUCAUAUGGGGCUUCUCCAUGUUAAUACCAACACAUUAAUUGUUGGAGAUCAUUGCGUAGGACAUGGAAGUGCAACAUUGGACAGUAGAAGUGGUGGCAACAUGAAGGACUACUUUGAAACAACAUACAAAUUCUUAGACCUAUCACCACAUGUCUUAAUUCCUAUGCAUGGAAGGAUAAACCUUUGGCCCAAGCAUAUGCUCUGUGGAUACCUCAGGAAUCGAAGGUCUAGAGAAGCCUCCAUUCUGCAAUCCAUAGAGAAUGGGGGCCGAACUCUGUUUGAAAUAGUUUCAAAGACUUACAGUGAUGUAGACAGGAAGUUGUGGAUUCCUGCUUCUUUCAAUGUUCGCCUUCAUGUUGAUCAUCUAAACUCCCAAAAUAAACUACCCAAGGAUUUCUCCUUGGAAAUGUUCAGUCGGAGUUGUGAUGAUUUUUUCUCUAGCCUUUGAUGGCCAUGUACGAAAAAAGGAAAUUCAAGUUCUCAAAAUUUGAGUUUUCAUUCCAUUUCGGCUGCUCUGUUUGCCAUCUUUAGCACUAUGUGCAUGAAACUGAAUAACGCAAUCAUGGGAAAUCAAUUCUUGUAAUCCGUUAUGACUUCUCAUUGGAGAAUUUUAAGGCGAGCUGUGGAGCGCAUUUCAUAUUCCGUUGGGCGGUGGCGUAUGUGCAAUCCAGGAGCUCCCCAGCUAUCCUUGCGGUUGCAGCAAGUGCCCUUGCUGGUGGUCUGGCAAUUGCUUGUGCUCUCAGAAGGAACAAUGGCAAGUAAUUAUAGACUCUGUUGGUCGGUAAUUCCAGCUACGAGCACAUUAUAUUUUUAUGAAGAUUCUGCUACCACUAUGCUGAGUCGAAUGCUUAGUUGCCAAAACUUUUGUUCUACGAUUGUGUGGGUGAACUUUGCCACUUCUAUACACAAGGAAAGCGCUCAGGCUAGGGCUUGUAAAGUGUGGGAUUAGGAUAUUAAUUCUUAGGGUUUUGAUCGAGUUUGAACUGAGUCCUAGAAUUCCCUGAAGCAGUUGCAUGUUGCCUCGGGUAAGUAGGGUGCAAGUAGGCCUGCGACGUCUUAGUGGCCACAUAGUUCUUAGGCCAGUCUCAUUGCAGUUACCAAGACUAAGAACUAUAUAAUUGUGCCAGCUGAGUGUCAUGACGAUGAAACUUAUCUGAUGAAACUCCUCUUAAUUA